GGACCCCAGGCUGGCCUCGAACUCCUGGUGAUCCUCCUGCCUCAGCCUGCCAAGUACUGAGCUUCUUCAAGUUUUUAGGACAAAAUCAUGAAGAAGAGAGAGGUGCCGUCCACAUGCAUGAGCCCUUUGUGAGCGCCAAGUGAGGAAAGGUUACUUCAGGUCAUGCCGGAGAAGCUACCACGAAUGCAUCCAGAGACGUUCGUGAGGCUUUGCUCCACCAUGGACUCCUGUCAUGAUGUAUGACCACCACAGCUGGAUCCACGGGAUCAUGCCCUGAAAGCUCUUCCUCUUUGCUCCACAUCUGGCUCGUGAGGGACUGGUGAGAACUGAUCAAUCUGUUGCGAGCCUAUGUUGCUGGAGGCAUUCCCUAGGGCGGUUCACCGUGUUGUUUCAGUGUUUGCUCUCAGCCUCCUGCAGUAGAUGUUACUAUUGGAACAGCAUCGCAGCACACCUCCACAGCUAGGAAUCCCAGAACACCUUUCCAUGAAGCUGGCAUCCUGCCCAGGACUCUGGCGAUG